rnacentral:rRNA from 1 species
CAUGCGAGUAGAUGAUUAGAUCAUUGCAAACUGCUCAGUAACACGUGGAUAACCUGCCCUAUGCUCCGGGAUAACCUCGGGAAACUGAGAAGAAUACCGGAUAGACCACAACGCCUGGAACGGUGUGUGGUUGAAAGGUCACGGCAUAGGAUGGGUCUGCGGCGUAUCAGGUCGUAGGGGGUGUAACGGACCUCCUAGCCAUCGACGCGUACGGGUUGUGGGAGCAAUAGCCCGGAGAUGGAUUCUGAGACACGAAUCCAGACCCUACGGGGUGCAGCAGCGCGAAAACUUCACACUGCAGGAAACUGUGAUGAGGGAACUCCAAGUGACUGCACAUUUGUGUAGCCUUUUUCUUUACUAUUAAUCGGUAUUGGAAUAAGGGCUGGGAAAGAACCGGUGCCAGCCGCCGCGUAAUACCGGCAGCUCAAGUUGGCCGUCGCCUUUUAUUGGGCCUAAACGUCCGGAAGCUGUUUGGUAAAUCUGGGGGUAAAUCAACCAGCUUACUGGUUGAUUCUUCAAAAAUUCCAGAAUAGGACCGGAAAUGUGGGUAUCUAGGGUAGGGUAAAUCUGUCAUC